rnacentral:lncRNA from 1 species
CUUUUAAUAGUUUACAAAAUCAGGUUUACGUACAUUAUAUAUACACUUAGAGAACAUAAAUCCAUCUUCAUUCUCAAAGCAGCUGUAAAUAUUGUGUCAACAGUUAAAGCUUAUAUAGGAUUUACAACGGAAUAUUCUAUAGUAGAAUAUUGGUAGGCUUUACAUACUAUACUGGACUCUUUCAAACUAUUAUACAAGCAAAACAAUAUUAAAACUUAUGAAAAAACACGCAU